UACGGGAGGCAGCAGUGGGGAAUAUUGCACAAUGGGCGCAAGCCUGAUGCAGCCAUGCCGCGUGUAUGAAGAAGGCCUUCGGGUUGUAAAGUACUUUCAGCGGGGAGGAAGGCGAUGUGGUUAAUAACCGCGUCGAUUGACGUUACCCGCAGAAGAAGCACCGGCUAACUCCGUGCCAGCAGCCGCGGUAAUACGGAGGGUGCAAGCGUUAAUCGGAAUUACUGGGCGUUAAAGCGCACGCAGGCGGUCUGUUAAGUCAGAUGUGAAAUCCCCGGGCUUAACCUGGGAACUGCAUUUUGAAACUGGCAGGCUUGAGUCUCGUAGAGGGGGUAGAAUUCCAGGUGUAGCGGUGAAAUGCGUAGAGAUCUGGAGGAAUACCGGUGGCGAAGGCGGCCCCCUGGGACGAAGACUGACGCGUCAGGUGCGAAAGCGUGGGGAGCAAACAGGGAUUAAU
rnacentral:rRNA from 1 species